rnacentral:tRNA from 1 species
GCCCGCGUAGCUCAGUGGAUAGAGCAACUGCCUUCUAAGCAGUGGGUCGAAGGUUCGAUUCCUUCCGCGGGUACCA